UUUUAUGAGAGUUUGAUCCUGGCUCAGGACGAACGCUGGCGGCGUGCCUAAUACAUGCAAGUCGUACGCUUCUUUUUCCACCGGAGCUUGCUCCACCGGAAAAAGAGGAGUGGCGAACGGGUGAGUAACACGUGGGUAACCUGCCCAUCAGAAGGGGAUAACACUUGGAAACAGGUGCUAAUACCGUAUAACAAUCGAAACCGCAUGGUUUUGAUUUGAAAGGCGCUUUCGGGUGUCGCUGAUGGAUGGACCCGCGGUGCAUUAGCUAGUUGGUGAGGUAACGGCUCACCAAGGCCACGAUGCAUAGCCGACCUGAGAGGGUGAUCGGCCACAUUGGGACUGAGACACGGCCCAAACUCCUACGGGAGGCAGCAGUAGGGAAUCUUCGGCAAUGGACGAAAGUCUGACCGAGCAACGCCGCGUGAGUGAAGAAGGUUUUCGGAUCGUAAAACUCUGUUGUUAGAGAAGAACAAGGAUGA
rnacentral:rRNA from 1 species